UUAAAGUACUGUUCUAAAAAAAUAUAAAAAUGGUAACUUAUUUCUAUAAUCUUUCCAGAUGACAUAAAAAAGCUUUCGAUGUUGCAUUAAAACAGACCUACUGUGAAAUUAAGUUAAACAGAAUUACUCAAAGUUAAAAUCACCGCAGAAUAUUACAAUUGUUUGAAAAGUUAAUAUAAAAAAAAAAUUAUGUGAGUAAAGGCGCAUCCAUCAUGGGAACCAGACACCACUGUGUCCAUCUGGGUUACGGGUAGCAUCCCUGAUGGCAGCUCAACCACUGGACACGUUAGCAGCGUGAACAUGCGGGAUCCGAAAAUAUUUUCGUUUGCUUUCGCUGGUUAUUUAUAUGCAAGUCAGGUCCUGGGCGGACGUAAUGGCGUCAGGAGCGCUUCCCGGGCCCAUCAUCGCAUCAAUCGCCUGGCUGGCCACUAAUGGAAAACCCAGCGACCACCGGGCCAAAUGGCAGGGCAGAAGAGCCA